GAUGAAGAACGCAGCGAAAUGCGAUACGUAAUGUGAAUUGCAGAAUUCAGUGAAUCAUCGAGUCUUUGAACGCACAUUGCGCCCUCUGGUAUUCCGGAGGGCAUGCCUGUCCGAGCGUCAUUGCUGCCCUCAAGCACGGCUUGUGUGUUGGGCUCCGUCCCCCGAUCCCGGGGGACGGGCCCGAAAGGCAGCGGCGGCACCGCGUCCGGUCCUCGAGCGUAUGGGGCUUUGUCACCCGCUCUGUAGGCCCGGCCGGCGCUUGCCGAUCAACCAAAUUUUUAUCCAGGUUGACCUCGGAUCAGGUAGGGAUACCCGCUGAACUUAAGCAUAUCAAUAAGCGAGGA
rnacentral:misc_RNA from 1 species